rnacentral:rRNA from 1 species
AUUGAACGCUGGCGGCAGGCCUAACACAUGCAAGUCGAACGAGUGGCGGACGGGUGAGUAAUGUCUGGGAAACUGCCUGAUGGAGGGGGAUAACUACUGGAAACGGUAGCUAAUACCGCAUACCAUCAGAUGUGCCCAGGUGGGAUGAGCUUGUUGGUGGGGUAACGGCUCACCAAGGAGACGAACCCUAGCUGGUCUGAGAGGGUGACCAGGCACACUGGAAAUGAGACAGGGGACAGAAUCCUACGUGAGGCGACAGUGGGGAAUAAAGCACAAUGGGCGCAAGCCUGAUGCAGCCAAGCCGCGAGUAUGAAGAAGGCCGUCGGGUGGUAAAGAACUUUCAGCGGAGAGGCGUUACCAGCAGAAGAAGCACCGGCUAACUCCGGGCCAGCAGGCGCGGUAAAAC